rnacentral:rRNA from 1 species
GUCCUUGCCGUAAACGAUGUAUACUUGAUGUAAUUGGGCUCAACCCUGAUUGUGUCGAAGCUAACGCGAUAAGUAUACCGCCUGGGGAGUACGCUCGCAAGGGUGAAACUCAAAAGAAUUGACGGGGGCCCGCACAAGCAGUGGAGCAUGUGGUUUAAUUCGAUGCAACGCGAAGAACCUUACCCAGGCUCGAAAUGUAUUGGACGAUACCAGAGAUGGUAUUUUCCGCAAGUACCGAUAUAUAGGUGCUGCAUGGCUGUCGU